rnacentral:rRNA from 1 species
GACGAACGCUGGCGGCGUGCCUAAUACAUGCAAGUCGAACGAGAGCGCCCGGUGCUUGCACUGGUCAAUCUAGUGGCGAACGGGUGAGUAACACGUGGGUAACCUGCCCAUCAGAGGGGGAUAACAUCCGGAAACGGAUGCUAAAACCGCAUAGGUCUUCGAACCGCAUGGUUUGAAGAGGAAAAGAGGCGCAAGCUUCUGCUGACGGAUGGACCCGCGGUGCAUUAGCUAGUUGGUGAGGUAACGGCUCACCAAGGCCGUGAUGCAUAGCCGACCUGAGAGGGUGAUCGGCCACAUUGGGACUGAGACACGGUCCAAACUCCUACGGGAGGCAGCAGUAGGGAAUCGUCCGCAAUGGACGCAAGUCUGACGGAGCAACGCCGCGUGAGUGAAGAAGGUUUUCGGAUCGUAAAACUCUGUUGUUAGAGAAGAACAAGUGCUAGAGUAACUGUUAGCGCCUUGACGGUAUCUAACCAGAAAGCCACGGCUAACUACGUG